GACGAACGCUGGCGGCGUGCUUAACACAUGCUUUUCGAACGGAAAGGCCCUGCUUUUGUGGGGUGCUCGAGUGGCGAACGGGUGAGUAACACGUGAGUAACCUGCCCUUGACUUUGGGAUAACUUCAGGAAACUGGGGCUAAUACCGGAUAGGAGCUCCUGCUGCAUGGUGGGGGUUGGAAAGUUUCGGCGGUUGGGGAUGGACUCGCGGCUUAUCAGCUUGUUGGUGGGGUAGUGGCUUACCAAGGCUUUGACGGGUAGCCGGCCUGAGAGGGUGACCGGCCACAUUGGGACUGAGAUACGGCCCAGACUCCUACGGGAGGCAGCAGUGGGGAAUAUUGCACAAUGGGCGGAAGCCUGAUGCAGCAACGCCGCGUGCGGGAUGACGGCCCUCGGGUUGUAAACCGCUUUCGCCUGUGACGAAGCGUGAGUGACGGUAAUGGGUAAAGAAGCACCGGCUAACUACGUGCCAGCAGCCGCGGUGAUACGUAGGGUGCGAGCGUUGUCCGGAUUUAUUGGGCGUAAAGGGCUCGUAGGUGGUUGAUCGCGUCGGAAGUGUAAUCUUGGGGCUUAACCCUGAGCGUGCUUUCGAUACGGGUUGACUUGAGGAAGGUAGGGGAGAAUGGAAUUCCUGGUGGAGCGGUGGAAUGCGCAGAUAUCAGGAGGAACACCAGUGGCGAAGGCGGUUCUCUGGGCCUUUCCUGACGCUGAGGAGCGAAAGCGUGGGGAGCGAACAGGCUUAGAUACCCUGGUAGUCCACGCUGUAAACGGUGGGUACUAGGUGUGGGGUCCAUUCCACGGGUUCCGUGCCGUAGCUAACGCUUUAAGUACCCCGCCUGGGGAGUACGGCCGCAAGGCUAAAACUCAAAGGAAUUGACGGGGCCCCGCACAAGCGGCGGAGCAUGCGGAUUAAUUCGAUGCAACGCGUAGAACCUUACCUGGGUUUGACAUGGAUCGGGAGUGCUCAGAGAUGGGUGUGCCUCUUUUGGGGUCGGUUCACAGGUGGUGCAUGGCUGUCGUCAGCUCGUGUCGUGAGAUGUUGGGUUAAGUCCCGCAACGAGCGCAACCCUUGUUCACUGUUGCCAGCACGUUAUGGUGGGGACUCAGUGGAGACCGCCGGGGUCAACUCGGAGGAAGGUGGGGAUGACGUCAAGUCAUCAUGCCCCUUAUGUCCAGGGCUUCACGCAUGCUACAAUGGCUGGUACAGAGAGUGGCGAGCCUGUGAGGGUGAGCGAAUCUCGGAAAGCCGGUCUCAGUUCGGAUUGGGGUCUGCAACUCGACCUCAUGAAGUCGGAGUCGCUAGUAAUCGCAGAUCAGCAACGCUGCGGUGAAUACGUUCCCGGGGCU
rnacentral:rRNA from 1 species